UGCCUAAUACAUGCAAGUCGAGCGGACAGAUGGGAGCUUGCUCCCUGAUGUUAGCGGCGGACGGGUGAGUAACACGUGGGUAACCUGCCUGUAAGACUGGGAUAACUCCGGGAAACCGGGGCUAAUACCGGAUGGUUGUUUGAACCGCAGGGUUCAAACAUAAAAGGUGGCUUCGGCUACCACUUACAGAUGGACCCGCGGCGCAUUAGCUAGUUGGUGAGGUAACGGCUCACCAAGGCAACGAUGCGUAGCCGACCUGAGAGGGUGAUCGGCCACACUGGGACUGAGACACGGCCCAAACUCCUACGGGAGGCAGCAGUAGGGAAUCUUCCGCAAUGGACGAAAGUCUGACGGAGCAACGCCGCGUGAGUGAUGAAGGUUUUCGGAUCGUAAAGCUCUGUUGUUAGGGAAGAACAAGUACCGUUCGAAUAGGGCGGUACCUUGACGGUACCUAACCAGAAAGCCACGGCUAACUACGUGCCAGCAGCCGCGGUAAUACGUAGGUGGCAAGCGUUGUCCGGAAUUAUUGGGCGUAAAGGGCUCGCAGGCGGUUUCUUAAGUCUGAUGUGAAAGCCCCCGGCUCAACCGGGGAGGGUCAUUGGAAACUGGGGAACUUGAGUGCAGAAGAGGAGAGUGGAAUUCCACGUGUAGCGGUGAAAUGCGUAGAGAUGUGGAGGAACACCAGUGGCGAAGGCGACUCUCUGGUCUGUAACUGACGCUGAGGAGCGAAAGCGUGGGGAGCGAACAGGAUUAGAUACCCUGGUAGUCCACGCCGUAAACGAUGAGUGCUAAGUGUUAGGGGGUUUCCGCCCCUUAGUG
rnacentral:rRNA from 1 species